rnacentral:tRNA from 1 species
GGGAUUGUAGUUCAAUUGGUUAGAAUGCCGCCCUGUCACGGCGGAGGUUGCGGGUUCGAGUCCCGUCAGUCCCG